rnacentral:rRNA from 1 species
CAGAAGUAGGAAGAAGGUACAUAUUCUAGUGGCGGACGGGUGGAGUAACGCGUGGGCGAACCUGCCGUUAUACAGGGGGAUAACAGCUGGAACAGCUGCUAUACCGCAUAAGCGCACAGCGGCGCAUGACGCAGUGUGAAAAACUGAGGUGGUAUAAGAUGGGCCCGCGUCUGAUUAGCUGGUUGGGAGGGUAACGGGCCUACCAAGGCGACGAUCAGUAGCCGGCCUGAGAGGCGGACGGCCACAUUGGGACUGAGACACGGCCCAGACUCCUACGGGAGGCAGCAGUGGGGAAUAUUGCACAAUGGGGGGAACCCUGAUGCAGCGACGCCGCGUGAGUGAAGAAGUAUUUCGGUACGUAAAGCUCUAUCAGCAGGGAAGAAAAAAGGACGGUACCUGAGUAAGAAGCCCCGGCUAACUACGUG